CCCAGGCUUUCCAUAGGUCCAGGAGCCAGGGAAAGUAUAUCUUGGACGUAUCUCUGGCCCAGCCUUGCAUUUCCUACAAUUAAUUUUGUGCUGGUCUCUGGUCCCCAUUCAUAAAUCAUACCUGUGGUUUUGAAUGGCUUUUUUGUCUCCGCAGUGGUGCUGUUACUAGUCCACGCUAAAUCUCUGAAUGAGUGCUUCACUCGCUGGCACGCGUUCUGAAAUAAAAGAGAUCGAUAGGGGAUCUGUGCAUCUCCCUCCAUGCUGAAAGAGGGAUGAUCCUCGCCGAUGGCUUUUCUUUGAAAAUUCAUGGCUGUGUUUUCUUCCUGACCAACCCGUUUGAGCUCAACAAGGACCCGCGCUGCUCGGAGCAAUGGAAAACCUCGCUCGGUGGUGUAGAUUAUGUGACGUCUCCAAGCACCUCAGACUUUUUGAUGAUCCUGAAGCGUCAAAUCAAGUUGAGAGAUCCCAUUUCAAUCAGAAAGCGGAAGUAAAAUGGCUUACUAACGCUGCUUCAUGUUGACUUUAAAGAAGAAGAGCUUGAGAACCACAUAAUGUUUCCAAGAAUGGCUAAAUAAUAUUUCCACAGGCAGAUUCCUCUAAGAAGUGGAUGCACCCAAUGUGGGCAGAAGAUCCCUAAAUAGAAACUCUUAUGAAAGGCAACAUCAA
ensembl:lncRNA